rnacentral:rRNA from 1 species
AGCGUGACCUAUCACUCAGCGGAGGACGGCGCAGCUGAACCCCUUUGUGAACUUAUACCUUAUUGUUGCCUCGGCGAAGGCCGGCCUCUCUUCUGAGGCCCCCCGGAGACGGGGAGCAGCCCGCCGGCGGCCAACCAAACUCUUGUUUCUUAGUGAAUCUCUGAGUAAAAAACAUAAAUGAAUCAAAACUUUCAACAACGGAUCUCUUGGUUCUGGCAUCGAUGAAGAACGCAGCGAAAUGCGAUAAGUAAUGUGAAUUGCAGAAUUCAGUGAAUCAUCGAAUCUUUGAACGCACAUUGCGCCCUCUGGUAUUCCGGAGGGCAUGCCUGUUCGAGCGUCAUUUCAACCCUCAAGCCUGGCUUGGUGUUGGGGCACUGCUUCGAGAGAAGCAGGCCCUGAAAUCUAGUGGCGAGCUCGCUAGGACCCCGAGCGUAGUAGUUAUAUCUCGUUCUGGAAGGCCCUGGCGGUGCCCUGCCGUUAAACCCCCAACUUCUGAAAUUUUGACCUCGGAUCAGGUAGGAAUACCCGCUGAACUUAAGCAUAUCAUUAAAGCGGAGGAAGGUGGACCGGCACGGCCCCCAACUUUGGGAAUUAACUUUGGCGGAAGCGCCUUUAGCGAAGGGAACGGCCACCGUUUAUGAUCGACAAACGAAGAAAAUUGGGGGGUUGGCC